AGCUGUGAGACACAAGACUUGCAAAACUAACCUCAGUCACAACCCAGCAAUCACUCAUCCCUUCACAACUUUUCAAAUCAAAAGACAACUGGAGGCUGAAAUGAAAACAGUCAGUGUAUUUAAACCAUGAAACAAAUGAGGAUGCUGGAUGCAGCUAUAGUGCAUGCUGAAAUAAACGGGAAGACAUAUGAAAGACGUCACACUCUGUCAACUCAUCAGCCAGCCAACUCUACAGAAUCCUUCUGGAAAAGCUGACCAGCUGUGGGAUGAGCAGGUUCAUGGUAAGCUGAGUGAAGAACUGGCUGAAGGGCAGGGCUCAAAG